GUGUGUGUUUCAGAGUUUAUUUACAGGUCCUACUGGCCUCUUCACGAGGUUACGGUAGCCCGACCUGCCCCUGUGACCUCUCAGGAGAAAAAGAUUAAUUUUAGAGUCAAAUUCCCAGAUCGCAGAACCCGCCGCCCCGCACAAGCGCACCCACGCCGAGCGAGCCCGAGCCCCCCCUCGCGCCCGCAUACUGCCCCGGCCCGAGCACCCAACCGCUGAAGACCCCCGAGACAAGCACCCUCAUCCACCCACUUGCUGCGCGCGACAACAGAUCAGUCGAGAACCAACCAUGGAGCCAUCCAAAGCCCUAUCCAGAGUCACCAUCGUUCCUUCCCACCCGCCUGCCAAACAUCCAGACCGUGUAUCAAGCUGGGAUGUAUUAAUUUUGCUGUUAUGUUGUAUUUGCUUUUAUAAUUGGAUAGGUAAAGUAAAUAAAUGAUCUAAAAACUC